rnacentral:rRNA from 1 species
UUUUAUGGAGAGUUUGAUCCUGGCUCAGGAUAAACGCUGGCGGCGUGCCUAAUACAUGCAAGUCGAGCGAACGGACGAGAAGCUUGCUUCUCUGAUGUUAGCGGCGGACGGGUGAGUAACACGUGGAUAACCUACCUAUAAGACUGGGAUAACUUCGGGAAACCGGAGCUAAUACCGGAUAAUAUUUUGAACCGCAUGGUUCAAAAGUGAAAGACGGUCUUGCUGUCACUUAUAGAUGGAUCCGCGCUGCAUUAGCUAGUUGGUAAGGUAACGGCUUACCAAGGCAACGAUGCAUAGCCGACCUGAGAGGGUGAUCGGCCACACUGGAACUGAGACACGGUCCAGACUCCUACGGGAGGCAGCAGUAGGGAAUCUUCCGCAAUGGGCGAAAGCCUGACGGAGCAACGCCGCGUGAGUGAUGAAGGUCUUCGGAUCGUAAAACUCUGUUAUUAGGGAAGAACAUAUGUGUAAGUAACUGUGCACAUC